CCUACGGGAGGCAGCAGUGAGGAAUAUUGGUCAAUGGGCGCGAGCCUGAACCAGCCAAGCCGCGUGAGGGAAGACUGCCCUAUGUGUUGUAAACCUCUUUUAUUCGGGACGAAUCAGCCUUACUAGUAGGGUGAUGCCUGUACCUAAUGAAUAAGCAUCGGCUAACUCCGUGCCAGCAGCCGCGGUAAUACGGAGGAUGCGAGCGUUAUCCGGAUUUCUUGGGUUUAAAGGGUGCGUAGGCGGCCUGUUAAGUUAGUGGUAAAAUGUCGGGGCUAAACCCCGGAUUGCCAGUAAAACUGGCGGGCUGGAGUACAGGCGAGGUAGGCGGAAUGAGCGAAGUAGCGGUGAAAUGCUUAGAUAUG
rnacentral:rRNA from 1 species